rnacentral:sRNA from 13 species
AUGUAUAUAAGUGUAAAUGUGUAUGCAUUACCUAAUAACGGUAUAAAGUGUAGCAACGGCUGUUGCUUUGCUUUUUUUUUUUGUUAUUUUUUAAGUGUUGUGUUAUUGAAGUGAUACAAUUUAAUUAAAUUUUAAAGGUGUGUAGUGAUAUAAAAGUGAUAGAAGUAUAAUUUAAAGUGGCGUCUACUUAUGUAUGUAUGUAUGUAUGUACAUACGUAGCAUUUUAAAAAUCUCACCAAAAGGAUUAAGAGAACUUGGCGAUAUUUGUAUGUGAAAUGAUACGGUUACUCACCUAUAGCCGGAACUCAACUGAACUUCACCG